AGCUCAGGUAAAGCACUUGUCUAGCGAAUAAGGGUCGUGAGUUCAAAUCUCACCUGAGCUG
rnacentral:tRNA from 1 species